CAAAAAAUAGUUUAGCAAAAAUACUAGUUUUGGGGACUAGUGACGGGGCAGCGCCCCUUUUUGA
rnacentral:tRNA from 1 species